rnacentral:rRNA from 1 species
CCAUCAUUUAAAGAAAGCGUAAUAGCUCACUGGUCGAGUCGGCCUGCGCGGAAGAUGUAACGGGGCUAAACCAUGCACCGAAGCUGCGGCAGCGACACUAUGUGUUGUUGGGUAGGGGAGCGUUCUGUAAGCCUGUGAAGGUGGCCUGUGAGGGUUGCUGGAGGUAUCAGAAGUGCGAAUGCUGACAUAAGUAACGAUAAAGCGGGUGAAAAGCCCGCUCGCCGGAAGACCAAGGGUUCCUGUCCAACGUUAAUCGGGGCAGGGUGAGUCGACCCCUAAGGCGAGGCCGAAAGGCGUAGUCGAUGGGAAACAGGUUAAUAUUCCUGUACUUGGUGUUACUGCGAAGGGGGGACGGAGAAGGCUAUGUUGGCCGGGCGACGGUUGUCCCGGUUUAAGCGUGUAGGCUGGUUUUCCAGGCAAAUCCGGAAAACCAAGGCUGAGGCGUGAUGACGAGGCACUACGGUGCUGAAGCGACAAAUGCCCUGCUUCCAGGAAAAGCCUCUAAGCAUCAGGUAACAUCAAAUCGUACCCCAAACCGACACAGGUGGUCAGGUAGAGAAUACCAAGGCGCUUGAGAGAACUCGGGUGAAGGAACUAGGCAAAAUGGUGCCGUAACUUCGGGAGAAGGCACGCUGAUAUGUAGGUGAAGCGACUUGCUCGUGGAGCUGAAAUCAGUCGAAGAUACCAGCUGGCUGCAACUGUUUAUUAAAAACACAGCACUGUGCAAACACGAAAGUGGACGUAUACGGUGUGACGCCUGCCCGGUGCCGGAAGGUUAAUUGAUGGGGUUAGCGGUAACGCGAAGCUCUUGAUCGAAGCCCCGGUAAACGGCGGCCGUAACUAUAACGGUCCUAAGGUAGCGAAAUUCCUUGUCGGGUAAGUUCCGACCUGCACGAAUGGCGUAAUGAUGGCCAGGCUGUCUCCACCCGAGACUCAGUGAAAUUGAACUCGCUGUGAAGAUGCAGUGUACCCGCGGCAAGACGGAAAGACCCCGUGAACCUUUACUAUAGCUUGACACUGAACAUUGAGCCUUGAUGUGUAGGAUAGGUGGGAGGCUUUGAAGUGUGGACGCCAGUCUGCAUGGAGCCGACCUUGAAAUACCACCCUUUAAUGUUUGAUGUUCUAACGUUGGCCCCUAAUCGGGGUUGCGGACAGUGUCUGGUGGGUAGUUUGACUGGGGCGGUCUCCUCCUAAAGAGUAACGGAGGAGCACGAAGGUUGGCUAAUCCUGGUCGGACAUCAGGAGGUUAGUGCAAUGGCAUAAGCCAGCUUGACUGCGAGCGUGACGGCGCGAGCAGGUGCGAAAGCAGGUCAUAGUGAUCCGGUGGUUCUGAAUGGAAGGGCCAUCGCUCAACGGAUAAAAGGUACUCCGGGGAUAACAGGCUGAUACCGCCCAAGAGUUCAUAUCGACGGCGGUGUUUGGCACCUCGAUGUCGGCUCAUCACAUCCUGGGGCUGAAGUAGGUCCCAAGGGUAUGGCUGUUCGCCAUUUAAAGUGGUACGCGAGCUGGGUUUAGAACGUCGUGAGACAGUUCGGUCCCUAUCUGCCGUGGGCGCUGGAGAACUGAGGGGGGCUGCUCCUAGUACGAGAGGACCGGAGUGGACGCAUCACUGGUGUUCGGGUUGUCAUGCCAAUGGCACUGCCCGGUAGCUAAAUGCGGAAGAGAUAAGUGCUGAAAGCAUCUAAGCACGAAACUUGCCCCGAGAUGAGUUCUCCCUGAGACUUAGAGUCUCCUGAAGGAACGUUGAAGACGACGACGUUGAUAGGCCGGGUGUGUAAGCGCAGCGAUGCGUUGAGCUAACCGGUACUAAUGAACCGUGAGGCUUAACCUUACAACGCCGAAG